rnacentral:rRNA from 1 species
UGGUUAAAAAGCUCGUAGUUGGAUCUCGGCGGACUGAGGGCGGUUUGCUUGCUAGUAUUGCUGCCCUAUAGUCCGUGGUUUUGCCAGAGGUUUCGGGGUGCUCUUAAUCGAGUGUCCCGGGAUGCUGGCAGGUUUACUUUGAAAAAAUUAGAGUGCUCAAAGCAGGCUAUUACGCCUGAAUAUUCGUGCAUGGAAUAAUAGAAUAGGAAGUCGUUUCUAUUUUGUUGGUUUUCGGAAAUCGACUUAAUGAUUAAUAGGGACAGUCGGGGGCAUUUGUAUUCAAACGACAGAGGUGAAAUUCUUGGACCGUUUGAAGACAAACUACUGCGAAAGCAUUUGCCAAGAAUGUUUUCAUUAAUCAAGAACGAAAGUUAAAGGUUCGAAGGCGAUUAGAUACCGCCCUAGUUUUAACCAUAAACGAUGCCAGCUAGCGAUCUGCGGACGUUUUUUUUGUAGACUCCGCAGGAAGCUUCCGGGAAGCCAAAGCAUUUGGGUUCCAGGGGAAGUAUGGUUGCAAAGCUGAAACUUAAAGGAAUUGACGGAAGGGCACCACCAGGAGUGGAGCCUGUGGCUUAAUUUGACUCAACACGGGAAAUCUCACCAGGCCCGGACACUGGAAGGAUUGACAGAUUGAUAGCUCU